GUGUCAGCAGCCGCGGUAAUACGUAGGGGGCAAGCGUUGUCCGGAAUCACUGGGCGUAAAGCGCGCGCAGGCGGUCUUUCACGUCCGGGGUGAAAGCCCAGAGCUCAACUCUGGGAUUGCCUUGGAUACGGGGAGACUUGAGGAUCGGAGAGGCAAGGGGAAUUCCACGUGUAGCGGUGAAAUGCGUAGAGAUGUGGAGGAACACCUGUGGCGAAGGCGCCUUGCUGGCCGAUUUCUGACGCUGAGGCGCGAAAGCGUGGGGAGCAAACAGGAUUAGAUACCCUGGUAGUCCACGCCGUAAACGAUGAGUGCUAGGUGUUAGGGGGCCCACCCCUUAGUGCCGAAGCUAACGCAUUAAGCACUCCGCCUGGGGAGUACGGUCGCAAGACUGAA
rnacentral:rRNA from 1 species